UACGUAUGGUGCAAGCGUUAUCCGGAUUUACUGGGUGUAAAGGGAGCGCAGGCGGCGCGCUAAGUCUGAUGUGAAAGCCCGGGGCUCAACUCCGGGACUGCAUUGGAAACUGGCGGGCUGGAGUGCCGGAGAGGUAAGCGGAAUUCCUAGUGUAGCGGUGAAAUGCGUAGAUAUUAGGAGGAACACCAGUGGCGAAGGCGGCUUACUGGACGGUGACUGACGCUGAGGCUCGAAAGCGUG
rnacentral:rRNA from 1 species